CCCUUAGAUGUUCUGGGCUACACGCGUGCUACACUGAUAUUGCCAAUAUGUCAUUCUUAUCCGAAAUGGAUUGGGUAGUCAAGUAAUGAAAUUUCAUGCUUGGAAUCGGUAAUUGCAAUUUUAUCGUGAACGAGGAAUUCCUAGUAAGCACUAGUCAUCAGCUAAUGUUGAUUAUGUCCCUGCCCUUUGUACACACCGCCCGUCGCUACUACUGAUUGGGUGUUCAAGUGAGAUGCUUAGACCCUUGUUGCAUGGUUCAUUAUUGUGCUCCGAAAGGAAAAAGUUUCAAGCUUGAGUGUCUAGAGGAAGUAAAAGUCGUAACA
rnacentral:rRNA from 1 species